rnacentral:rRNA from 1 species
UACGUAGGGCGCAAGCGUUGUCCGGAAUUAUUGGGCGUAAAGAGCUCGUAGGCGGCUUGGCAAGCCGGGUGUGAAAACUCCAGGCUCAACCUGGAGACGCCACCCGGGACUGCUAUGGCUAGAGUCCGGUAGGGGAUCACGGAAUUCCUGGUGUAGCGGUGAAAUGCGCAGAUAUCAGGAGGAACACCAAUUGCGAAGGCAGCUCGCUGGGACGUUACUGACGCUGAGACGCGAAAGCGUGGGGAGCAAACAGG